GAGUUUCUCCAGGGAAGAUCUUUAAUUCUGUACAGGAAGAAUUUUUUUCUUCCUGUACAGAAUUAAAGAUCUUCCCUGGAGAAACUCUAGUU
rnacentral:miRNA from 1 species